UUUGGUUUAGGUAGGGUAUGAAAUUGGAACAACGGUUUUUUUUUCUUUUGGGUUGUAACGGGGCUUUGGUUUAGGUAGGGUAUGAAAUUUGAACAAAGGUUUUUGGUUCAGAGUACAUGAAAUCAUUCUCUCACUACGUUUCUUUCCUAUUAUUCCUGUAGGGUUUUGCAAUCCUCUUUUCCUUUUAUCUAUAGUGAAUGUAGUAUUUUUCAAAAGUUGUUCUUUUAUUGUUUUUCGCUUUUCUCUUUCUUUCUUUUCAUGUUGUUGUUGUUUUUCUUUUUUUUUUUCUUUUUUUUUCUUUUUUUUUAUACGACAUUCACUUACUAGUCACGUACUGCAAAGCUACCCCAAACUUAAAGGUUGCUAUUCCAACAGCAACCCCAAACUUAGAUAUAAACGUAGAGAUGAAAUCAAUCCUCACAUACUCUGAAUAGGGUAGGAUAGGUACAAG
rnacentral:lncRNA from 1 species